ACGAACGCUGGCGGCGCGCUUAACACAUGCAAGUCGAGCGAUGAAACUUUAACAGAACCCUUCGGGGCGAAGAUAAAGUGGAUUAGCGGCGGACGGGUGAGUAACACGUGAGUAACCUGCCUUAGACAUUGGGAUAGCCUCGGGAAACCGGGAUUAAUACCAAAUAAAAUCAUAAUGACACAUGUCAUAACGAUCAAAACUCCGGUGGUCUAAGAUGGACUCGCGUCCCAUUAGCUAGUUGGUAGAGUAAAAGCCUACCAAGGCGACGAUGGGUAGCCGGCCUGAGAGGGUGAACGGCCACAUUGGAACUGAGAAACGGUCCAAACUCCUACGGGAGGCAGCAGUCGGGAAUAUUGCACAAUGGAGGGAACUCUGAUGCAGCGACGCCGCGUGAACGAAGAAGGCUUUCGAGUCGUAAAGUUCUUUUAUAUGGGAAGAUAAUGACGGUACCAUAAGAAAAAGCCCCGGCUAACUACGUG
rnacentral:rRNA from 1 species